CCUCCCAAAGCCACCCAGCGAGGGGGGAAGCAACACCUACACGACGAGGAUACAGGCAGCUCUUCUGACGAUGCGGCCAGACCUGCUCAUUUUCACCAGCAAUUUCUGUUUCAAUAGCAGCUUGAACCUACCUGUCCUGUCGAGAGUCUCCAGUGUGUUGCCACAGCAAACGAUGUGUCCAUGAAGAUCUCUGGUACACUCAGACCCUCUUCAAUAGCCUGGAGCUUCAAGCCCAGCAAGUGUCUGUCAAUUGCUAAUCCUUUAAGUGCCUCCCUGUUCUUACAAGUGACCCCAGUGCAAUUCUCCUGGCCUACACAUCUUUGGACUGUGGGAGGAAACCCAUGCAGACAUGGGGAGAAUGUUGCCCGACAGUUGCC